rnacentral:rRNA from 1 species
CCUGGUUGAUCCUGCCAGUAGUCAUAUGCUUGUCUCAAAGAUUAAGCCAUGCAUGUCUAAGUAAAAAUUUAAUAAUGGUGAAACUGCAAAUGGCUCAUUACAACGGUUAUGAUGUACCCGGGAUCUCCGAUGGAUAUUUCCAGUAACACUAGAGCUAAUACAUGUUUCUGCGUUUAUUAGUUUCAAACAAAAUUGUUGCUGAGUCAUGGUAAACGGUUGAUCGAUUCGACAUCCCGGAACAGUUUCCGCCCCAUCAGCUUCGAUGGUUGGGUAUUGGCCUACCAUUGCAACAACGGGUGACGAGGAAUUAGGGUUUGAUUUCGGAGAGGGAGCCUGAGAAACGGCUACCACAUCUACGGAUGGCAGCAGGCGCGCAAAUUACCCAAUGCAGACUCUGUGAGGUAGUGACGAGAAAUAAUAAAGUAUGGCUUAUGCUAUACUAUUAUAAUGAGGAAUAACUAAAUGUCAUUCCUAUUAGCAACUGAUGGGAAAGUCUGGUGCCAGCAGCCGCGGUAAUACCAGCUUCAGGAGCAUAUACUAAAAUUGUUGCAGUUAAAACGUCCGUAGUCUGUACGUCGUCAAUGACUUUACUACUGCGCUAAUUGUUCUUGCAACGAUUAGAUUGCUUGUAGUUACUCCCUUGAUCAAAAUAGACUGUUCAAGGUAGACCGAGUCUUUAUAUUUUCACAUGGAAUUGGGUGAAGGAACUUAAGAGGUUAGGUUUCUCGUCUUAGGAGCAUUUAGGGAUAUUAGUACUUGGCCGCGAGAGGCGAAAUUUUUGGACCGGUCAAAGACUAACAGCAGCGAAAGCAUUUGUCAGAAAUGUUUUCUGCGACAAAGGAUGAAGGUCAGGGUAUCGAAGACGAUUAGAUACCGUCGUAGUCCUGACUGUAAACUAUGCCGACUUGGAUCUUGCAGAGCUAUACUUUGUGAGAUCCAACCAGAAAUGAAAGUGUAUGGGUUCUGGGGGUAGUAUGGACACAAGUCUGAAACUUGAAGGAAUUGACGGAAGAGCACCAUCAGACGUGGAGCUUGCGGCUUAAUUUGACCCAACGCGGGAAAACUUACCAGGUCAAGACAUGGGCGUGAUUGACAGGCUAAUGACCUUUCUCGAUUCCUUGGAUGGUGGUGCAUGGUCGCACUUAGUUGGUGCAGUGAUUUGUCAGGUUUAUUCCGGUAACGAACGAGACCUCGGCCUUGUAACUAGUACUUGCUUCUUACAGGGACUGUGAUGCUACGUCAAGG